rnacentral:lncRNA from 1 species
UACUAAUAUUGAAUAUGUUCUAUUUUAUAUUGAUCAAAACUGCAAGAGAGGAGAGAAAUCAUCUACUACUAAUUAGCUCUAACAAGGUCUUAACCUUACAAAACCAAACUAUUACAGCUCAUACUAAAUCUGCCAAAACCAAACACAAACAAUCUAUUUACAAACUACUCUUUUUAAAUGGACUUCUCUAAAAUGGAGUAACUGAUUUCAAAGCAGAGCGCUUCAUCCGCCCCACAUGCCUCCGACAGCGCACAUACCAAACAUUGGUCAAAAUUGCUCUCCAAACAACCUGCUAACCCGAGAACAUGUGGACGACCCAGGAAAAGUCGCAGCUACUUGUUCGAUUUUAUCUUCCCAGCUCAGGCCUUCAACAGGUCUCCUGUACAAAGCUUCCAAACCUCAUCCAUAAAACCACAAUCAUAGAAGAUGUGCUAAACAAAAUCAAUUCCAGAAUUACAGAGUAACCAGGAAAUGUCAACAUAGGUCUCCCAACUAGCAACCUUGGAGUUAGUAACCAACCUACCUUUCAGAGCAAGUCGGGAAAUGAAACAGGGUUUUGGGAUCGAGGAGGCGAACAAAUGAAUUGGGACCAAGGCAACUUUGGUUCCCGUGCUCUAAACUAGUUCCACACGAGAAACAGAGUAGCGAGGCAUUGAUGUUUCUUGCAAAAGAAAUUCACCAUCGAUCCCUCGUUAAACUGAAGGAGCAGCCUGGUCAUGAGCAUGCAGCCUGAUCAGACGCUGCUUGUCAGUUCCAGAUUGUCCCACUCUUGAUUUGAAACAAAC